rnacentral:rRNA from 1 species
GACGAACGCUGGCGGCGUGCUUAACACAUGCAAGUCGAACGCUGAAGCUCAGCUUUUGUUGGGUGGAUGAGUGGCGAACGGGUGAGUAACACGUGAGUAACCUGCCCCCUUCUUUGGGAUAACGCCCGGAAACGGGUGCUAAUACUGGAUAUUCACUGGUCUUCGCAUGGGGGUUGGUGGAAAGGGUUUUUCUGGUGGGGGAUGGGCUCGCGGCCUAUCAGCUUGUUGGUGGGGUGAUGGCCUACCAAGGCUUUGACGGGUAGCCGGCCUGAGAGGGUGACCGGUCACAUUGGGACUGAGAUACGGCCCAGACUACUACGGGAGGCAGCAGUGGGGAAUAUGGCAAAAUGGGCGCAAGCCUGAUGCAGCGACGCCGCGUGAGGGAUGGAGGCCUUCGGGUUGUGAACCUCUUUCGCUCAUGGUCAAGCCGCAACAAUGGUUGUGGUGAGGGUAGUGGGUAAAGAAGCGCCGGCUAACUACGUG